rnacentral:lncRNA from 10 species
AUGCCCGACUCCACCACAUAAAGUUCUGACAUAAUACAAAAUAUUUGCAGAAACAACAGUAUAACACACCUGUAAAGGGCAAUAGAACAAAGGAGGAGUGUUAUAACCUUGAACUGUUCUUUAGUCCUUGACCACCUUGGGAACUUCCAGUCAUCACCUUGCUUUGAGAGCCUUUGGCUUAAACUAUACUGGACUUCCUACUUUCAUCUCCAAGGUCCUUCUCUGAACUGGUGGUUGAAGUGAGAAUAAACAGGAGGGGGCCCAUGUGAGAAAUAUUUAGGAGGUAAAAGGAAUGUGUUAGGAGACGGUCAGGAGACAGUGUGGUGAGAGGAAGUGAUUGAAGAUGAUGCCCAAGAUGGUGGACGGACUGAGGACAUCAAUGAUGGAGACAUCUCCUGAGACAAGGAAAAUAAGAGGAAGAUCCUGCUUGUUGUUUAACACCAGGAAAGAAUCACAGAUGCCUGCACUCACUAACCAAGGCAUCCUCCAGAGGUGUGAAUGGAAGACAUUAGCACAGAACCUGGAGUUUGGUAACUGAUGUUUUGGAGAGACUAAAUUACUUACCAGAGGAUGCACGGCUAAGUGUGAGAGCUAUAAUGUAAACGUGGCAUCCCGAUUCUGUAAUUCUGGCCACUCCACUGAACCUCCUCAAGUAAGUAAGUAAAUAAAUAAAUAAAUAAACAAACAAAUAGAAGUAAAAAUUCCUCUUUGG